rnacentral:rRNA from 1 species
UACAUAGGUCUCAAGCGUUGUUCGGAUUCAUUGGGCGUAAAGGGUGUGUAGGUGGCGCGCUAAGUCGGGUGUGAAAUUUCGGAGCUUAACUCCGAAACUGCAUUCGAUACUGGCGUGCUUGAGGACUGGAGAGGAGACUGGAAUUCAUGGUGUAGCAGUGAAAUGCGUAGAGAUCAUGAGGAAGACCAGUGGCGAAGGCGGGGCUCUGGACAGUUCCUGACACUGAGACACGAAGGCCAGGGGAGCAAACGGG